AGAGUUUGAUCUUGGCUCAGAACGAACGUUGGCGGCGUGGAUAAGGCAUGCAAGUCGUACGAUCUGUUCAGACCUUGAAGCUUCGGCUGAUAGGUCUGAUUUGAUAGUGGCAAAAGGGUGAGUAUCGCGUGGGUAAUUUACCUUUGAGAUUGGGAUAAUCCGCCGAAAGGCGGACUAAUACCGAAUAAGACCACAUUUACUUUGGUAUGUGUGGUAAAAGGAUGGGGAUCUUUCGGGACCUAUCGCUUAAAGAUGAGCCUGCGUCCUAUCAGCUUGUUGGCGGGGUAAAAGCCCACCAAGGCAACGACGGGUAGCUGGUCUGAGAGGAUGGUCAGCCACACUGGGACUGAGACACUGCCCAGACUCCUACGGGAGGCUGCAGUCGAGAAUCUUUCGCAAUGGGCGCAAGCCUGACGAUGCGACGCCGCGUGAGCGAUGAAGGCUUUCGGGUUGUAAAGCUCUGUCACAUGGGAAGAAUGUCCUUAGGGGUAAUAUCCUGAAGGGUUGACUGUACCAUGAAAGGAAGCCAUGGCUAACUCCGUGCCAGCAGCCGCGGUAAUACGGGGAUGGCUAACGUUGUUCGGAUUCAUUGGGUGUAAAGGGUAUGUAGGUGGCCUUGUAAGUCGGAUGUGAAAUCCUUUGGCUCAACCAAAGAACUGCAUUCGAAACUACAUGGCUUGAGUUUGGGAGAGGAGAGUGGAAUUCCCGGUGUAAGAGUGAAAUCUGUAGAUAUCGGGAGGAACACCAGUGGCGAAAGCGGCUCUCUGGACCAAAACUGACACUGAAAUACGAAAGCUAGGGGAGCAAACAGGAUUAGAUACCCUGGUAGUCCUAGCCGUAAACGAUGAGUACUAGGUGUAGGGUGUAAACUCUGUGCCGCAGUUAACACAUUAAGUACUCCACCUGGGGACUACGGCCGCAAGGCUGAAACUCAAAGAAAUUGACGGGGACCCGCACAAGCAGUGAGCAUGUGUUUAAUACGACGCUUCGCGUG
rnacentral:rRNA from 1 species